rnacentral:misc_RNA from 1 species
AGUAAAAUUUCUUACCUUUAUAAAACUUGUUUUGCAAUCAUCAUUAAAAUAUUGUAUAAGAGAAAAAUGAUGAUUGCGUUAAAAAUAUCUGUACUUUUGCUAUGUUAGUUCUUAUAUAGACCUAAAAGGCCAUUAAUUUAGUAGGUCUAUUCUCUAAUAAUCAUAGCAAUUUUAAAAAUAAAAUUAUGAAGAACAUUUUCUUCAUAAUUCUUUUACUUUGCAGUACUAUAUAAUGGAUCUAAGGCAGUAAUGGAAAAUUGCUACUAUAUAUGCUUAAAUCGGAGUUCAUUAGUCAAUGACAGCAGUUUGGUUACAUCUGCCUCCACUAUUGUCAUAUAAAGUAGCAAUUGGAUAACAUUUUUACAGUGAAUAAAAAUUGUUGCCUUGAAUAGACAUAAAUCAUUGUUAUUAUAACAAUUUUAAUAGCAAUUUUAUUAAAUUUUUUACAUAAUCUAUUAAUUUAUUUGCAAUAGUUUUAAACUAUCACAAAACU